CUCUGCGUGCGCUCCGCCUUUAGAGAUCCGCGCCGUAGCCAAUCAGUGCGUGGCCACGCCUCCCAUCCACACACCACCACGCCUCCGCUCCGCGCGAUGCAGUAAGGGAGUUGCAAGUCCUUGUGGUGGCUCAUGGCGGUCCUUUGCACUUAAACAGGGACACGUGUCUGAGGCACGGGGGACAUGCCAGGGCUGAGAAGCCCCAAGGAGCAUGCGUCUAAAUGAAUAACCCUAUUGGUUAGAAGGUCACAUGAUAUCAGGGUAUAAAGGGAAGCGCCAAAUUUGAAAUAAAGUCUCUUUGUUACACCGCCUCACAA